rnacentral:rRNA from 1 species
UGCAAGUCGAGCGGACAGAUGGGAGCUUGCUCCCUGAUGUUAGCGGCGGACGGGUGAGUAACACGUGGGUAACCUGCCUGUAAGACUGGGAUAACUCCGGGAAACCGGGGCUAAUACCGGAUGCUUGUUUGAACCGCAUGGUUCAAACAUAAAAGGUGGCUUCGGCUACCACUUACAGAUGGACCCGCGGCGCAUUAGCUAGUUGGUGAGGUAACGGCUCACCAAGGCAACGAUGCGUAGCCGACCUGAGAGGGUGAUCGGCCACACUGGGACUGAGACACGGCCCAGACUCCUACGGGAGGCAGCAGUAGGGAAUCUUCCGCAAUGGACGAAAGUCUGACGGAGCAACGCCGCGUGAGUGAUGAAGGUUUUCGGAUCGUAAAGCUCUGUUGUUAGGGAAGAACAAGUACCGUUCGAAUAGGGCGGUACCUUGACGGUACCUAACCAGAAAGCC